rnacentral:rRNA from 1 species
GACGAACGCUGGCGGCGUGCUUAACACAUGCAAGUCGAACGGAAAGGCCUCUUUCGGGGGGUACUCGAGUGGCGAACGGGUGAGUAACACGUGAGUAACCUGCCCUUGACUUUGGGAUAACUUCAGGAAACUGGGGCUAAUACCGGAUAGGAGCUCCUGCUGCAUGGUGGGGGUUGGAAAGUUUCGGCGGUUGGGGAUGGACUCGCGGCUUACCAGCUUGUUGGUGGGGUAGUGGCUUACCAAGGCUUUGACGGGUAGCCGGCCUGAGAGGGUGACCGGCCACAUUGGGACUGAGAUACGGCCCAGACUCCUACGGGAGGCAGCAGUGGGGAAUAUUGAACAAUGGGUGGAAGCCUGAUGCAGCAACGCCGUGUGCGGGAUGACGGCCUUCGGGUUGUAAACCGAUUUCGCUCAUGACGAAGCUUUGUGUGACGGUAGUGGGUAAAGAAGCACCGGCUAACUACGUG